rnacentral:rRNA from 1 species
AGCGAACGCUGGCGGCAGGCUUAACACAUGCAAGUCGAGCGGGCACCUUCGGGUGUCAGCGGCAGACGGGUGAGUAACACGUGGGAACGUACCCUUCGGUUCGGAAUAACUCUGGGAAACUAGAGCUAAUACCGGAUACGUCCGAGAGGAGAAAGGUUUACUGCCGAAGGAUUGGCCCGCGUCUGAUUAGCUAGUUGGUGGGGUAAUGGCCUACCAAGGCGACGAUCAGUAGCUGGUCUGAGAGGAUGAUCAGCCACAUUGGGACUGAGACACGGCCCAA